UACGUAGGGUGCAAGCGUUAAUCGGAAUUACUGGGCGUAAAGCGUGCGCAGGCGGUUGUGCAAGACAGAUGUGAAAGCCCCGGGCUUAACCUGGGAACUGCGUUUGAAACUGGGAGACUUGAGUGUGGCAGAGGGGGGUGGAAUUCCACGUGUAGCAGUGAAAUGCGUAGAUAUGUGGAGGAACACCGAUGGCGAAGGCAGCCCCCUGGGUUAACACUGACGCUCAUGCACGAAAGCGUGGGGAGCAAACAGG
rnacentral:rRNA from 1 species